GAGGCAGUAGAUUAGUCGUAGAGCUCCCGCCUCGUAUACGGGAAGACCUGGGUUCGAUUCCCGGCUGCCUUC
rfam:Toxocara canis scaffold109, whole genome shotgun sequence.